CACGUAGGGUGCAAGCGUUGUCCGGAAUCAUUGGGCGUACAGAGCUCGUCGGCGGCUUAGUAAGUCGGGUGUGAAAACCCCAGGCUCAACCUGGGGACGCCACCCGAUACUGCUAUAGCUAGAGUCCAGUAGGGGAGUGUGGAAUUCCCAGUGUAGCGGUGAAAUGCGCAGAUAUUGGGAGGAACACCAGCGGCGAAGGCGGCACUCUGGGCUGGUACUGACGCUGAGGAGCGAAAGCGUGGGUAGCGAACAGG
rnacentral:rRNA from 1 species